GACGUAGGGGGCGAGCGUUGUCCGGAUUCACUGGGCGUAAAGCGCGCGUAGGCGGCUCGUUAAGUCGGAUGUGAAAACCCGGGGCUCAACCCCGGGCCUGCACCCGAUACUGGCGGGCUGGAGGCCGGUAGGGGAGAUCGGAAUUCCCGGUGUAGCGGUGAAAUGCGCAGAUAUCGGGAGGAACACCGGUGGCGAAGGCGGAUCUCUGGGCCUGUCCUGACGCUCAGGCGCGAAAGCUAGGGGAGCAAACAGG
rnacentral:rRNA from 1 species